rfam:Capsicum annuum cultivar Zunla-1 unplaced genomic scaffold scaffold454, whole genome shotgun sequence
CUUGAAUCAGUGGGUUUAGACGCUAGAAAACUCAUAAAUUUACUGAUGUUUAUCAGUUUCUUCUCUUGAAUAUCAAUGGUAUAAAGUUAAAUGACAACACUUAAUUU